UCAAACUUUAAAUAGGUAGGAUGGCUCGGCUGCUUCGGUGAGUCGUGCUACGGAAUCAGGUUCUCCAAGUGGGCCAUUUUUGGUAAGCAGAACUGGCGAUGGGGGAUGAACCGGAAGUCGUGUUACGGUGCCUAACUGUGCGCUAACCUAGAACCCAAAAAGGGUGUUGGUCGAUUAAGACAGUAGCAUGGUGUUCAUGGAAGUCGAAAUCCGCUAAGGAGUGUGUAACUACUCACCUGGCGAAUCAACUAGCCCCGAAAAUGGAUGGCACUGAAGCGCGCGACCCACAGUCGGCCAUCUGGGCGAGUGCCAUGCCCCGAUGAGUAGGAGGGCGAGGCGGCCUCUUCAAAACCUGGGGUGCGAGCCCGGGGGGAGCAGCUGUCGGUGCAAAUCUUGGUGGUAGUAGCAAAUAUUCAAAUGAGAACUUUGAAGGCCGAAGAGGAGAAAUUUUCCAUUAGAACGACACUUGCACAUGGGUAAGCCGAUCCUAAGGGACGGGGUAACCCCGGCAGAUAGCGAAAUCACGCCCAUCCCCCGAAAGGGAAUCGGGUUAAGAUUUCCUGAACCGGUAUGUGGCGGUUGAUGGCGACGUUAGGAAUUCCGGAGACGUCGGAGGGGGCCUCGGGGAGAGUUAUCUUUUCUGCUUAAUGACCUGCCAACCUUACAAACGGUUCAGACGGAGGUAGGGUCCAGUGGCCGGAAGAGCAUCACACGUCGUGCGGUGUCCGGUGCGCCCUGAGUGGCCUAUGAAAAUCCGGAGGACCGAGUACCAUACAAGCCCCGAUCGUACUCAUAACCGCAUUAGGUCUCCAAGGUGAACAUCCUCUGGCCAAUGGAACAAUGUAGGCAAGGGAAGUUAGCAAAACGGAGCCGUAACUUCAGGAAAAGGAUUGGCUCUGAGGACUGGGCUCGGGGGUCCCGGCCCCGAACCCAUUGGCUGUUGACGGAUUGCUUGAGUUGCUCAUGCGGCGAGAGCGGGUCGCCGCGUGCCGGCCGGGGGCUUUCCCUGAGCAUGAAUCAGUAGACUCUGAACUGGUACGAACAAGGGGAAUCUGACUAUUUAAUUAAAACAAAGAAUUGCAAUGGUCCUCGCGGAUGCCGACGCAAUGUGAUUUCUACCCAUUGCCCUGAAUGUCAAAGUGAAGAAAUUCAACCAAGAGCAGGUAAACGGCGGGAGUAACUAUGACUCUCUUAAGGUAGCCAAAUGCCUCGUCAUCUAUUAAGUGACUCAUAUGAAUGGAUUAACGAGAUUCCCAAUGUCUACUAUCCAGCGAAACCAUAACCAAGGGAACGGGCUUCGCGGAAUCAGCGGGGAAAGAAGACCUUGUUUAGAUUAACUCUAGUCCAACUUUGUGAAAUGACUUGAGAGGUGUAUGAUAAGUGGGAGACCUUACGGGCGCAAGUGAAAUACCACUACUUUUAA
rnacentral:rRNA from 1 species